rnacentral:lncRNA from 1 species
CGAAGGGCCGACGGGGGCGGGGAAAGGACCAGCGGGCGGGGCAACGGUCUGACUGGGGCGUGGCGAGGAGAGGGUGGGCGUGGGGGUUGGUGCGGGUUGGCGAAGGGUGGAGGCAUGUCAGGCCCCGGCCACGCCCCUGCCGGUUUGGGCGGGAGCCGCCCCGGGACCAACUGCCCUCGUUGCUCACACCAAGGAGGCCUUGGCUAGCUCAGCCGGACCCCAAAGCCUGGACCGGGUCUCCACCUCCCCCCCACCCCCGUGCCCACGCCCUCCAUGCCGGCCUCGCCCGGGAGCAGAUCACUGCUGCCUCGCCCCCGCGGCCCACUCGCCCAGCGGGGCGCCUUAUCCGAGAGCCCUCCGGGCCUCAGCUUUAUCACCCGGCACCACCCGGCGUGGUUCUAACCCCGCGCCUUUGCGCUGCGCUGCACACCAGCUUUUUUUUUCUAAGACAGGAUCUCCCUGAGUUGCUCAGCUGCCCAGCCUGGGCUCGAACCUGCAGUCCAGCGCGGAGGCCUGGCCAACCCCUGACUUCCCGUGGCUGGGCCCAGGGUGUCAGCAGAGUCAGCUUCCAGGGAAUCCGACCUCUGGUCUCCCGCCCGAGUCCAGGGCCUUCCUGAGACUCCAGUCUUCGUGCCGAUGUCCCCAGGGCUGUGGUAAGGACUGAACCCCUUGGUGGCAGCUUCUGGAUCGUGUGGCUGCCCCUGCUGCCAUCCAAGGCCCCUCUCCCCCUCCACCCCAGUGUCCUCGCUUUUUUAUUUAUUUAUUUUUAUUUUUAUUUUUUUUUUUUCAUCCUCACUUUCUCUCUGCUCCUGAGACAGCCCCAGCUUUCUCUUGCCCCAGGGCCUUUGCACUUGCUGUUCUCACUUCUAAAAUACUCUCACCCUAGGUCCCACUGUGGCUGACUCCUUCUCUCCCGGGUCUCAGCCCAAAGCCCACUCCUCAGAAAAAUCCUUCAGUGUUUAGUCUGCUGUACACUUGAGCUCCAGCCCUCUCGAUGGCAAGUCACCCACUCUGUCUGCAGGUUCCUGGAGGGAGACGCUGGUCUCUCCUCUCUCACAACCAGGCGGGUACUCGGUGAAUGCUUGAAGUCAUCAGUUAGCGAAUUCAUGCAUUAGGCAUCAGGUAGCAACUCCUGAAUUAAUACACAUUUAUUGAUUCCUUGCACUAGGGAUUGCUGUGGUCCUAGUGAUGUUGGCAGUCCUUGGAAAGGGGGAGUCACUUUGCUGAGGCCUUGGCCGGCCUGGGCCUGACGCCACCCCCUCCUUUGGCCCCAGCUUGCCCUGGCCAUCUUACCCGGGCCACUUGUCCUCAAGGUCCAGAUGUGCGUGGUGUUGACCUCAGAGAGCCCAAGGCCGGGCCCAGGGCCACAGUGCCAAUGCCACGUGGGUGCCUGACAAGCGCGAGGGCAGAGAUGAAAGGGGGUUGGACGCACGUGGCCAGCCUCGGGACCUUGGUGGGGACAGCGGCCGAGGGAGGGAGAUACGGGUGCCGUCACCCAGAGAAGUCUUGAGAGGCGGCCACAGGAGAAGGGACAGAGUGACCACACUAGGGGUCGAGGGUCCUGCGAAAACCAGCUCGGAGGAUGGCUGCUCGGGAGGCUGAGGCAGGAGGAUUGCAAGUUUGAAGUCAGCCUGGACAACUUAGUGAGAUCCUGUGUCAAAAUAAAAUAAAAUAAAAAAUUAAAUUAAAUUAAAUUAAAAAGCUGGGAUGUAGCUCAGCAGUAGAGCACUGGAGCAGCAUACUCAAGGCCCUGGAUACCAUCCCCAGGACUGAAAAAAUAAUAAUAGUAAUGGCAAGGUGUGGUAGUGCACACCUGUAAUCUCAGCACUCCGGGAAGCUGAGGCAGGAGGGUUGCAAGUUCAAGCCCAGCCUGGGCAAAUUAGCAAGAAUUUAUCUGAAAAUAAAAAAUAAAAAAGGGCUGGGGAUGUAGCUUAAUAAAAGGGCCUGGGUUCUAUCUCCAAAGAAAAAACUGUGUAUACAAAUACUUACAGCACAUGCUCAUCAAAUUGCCCCCAGAUUGUCUCUGCACAAAACCCACUUGGCUCCCGGCUGGGGGUAGACGCGGAACACAGCCCAUCCACGCGGCCCCAUGGUGCACAGCGGCUGUGUCUCGGGCCAGCGAGGGAGGCGGACGUGGGCCUGGUGGACAUCGCUGGUGUCACAGUCUCCCAUUUCCUAGGAAACCUCUGACCUGCUCCUGCUCUGCCCCGGGGCCUUUGUACCCCCCCCCCCCCACCCCGCGCCCCAUCCCCCCCACCCUUGUCCCCAGCAGGCGUGGGGCCGGACUUUCCGCCCCUGCCCUGUCGCUGUCUGCCUUUCUCAGGGCCGGGAUGCCGGGCACCGAGCCCAGGGCCUUGUGCGCCCCAGGCAGUCACCCUGCGUGGAGCCCCCAGAGCCGCCCCCGGUCCUUUCUGUUUUAUUUUGAGACAGCGGCUUGCUACACUAUGGCCGCUGGGCCCCAGGCAGAGCAGGGUGGGGAAGGACGAGGAAGAGGAGGAAGGCGCGCGGCCGACCGCCAGCCGAGGGCGCCAGAGGGUGGGAGGGGGCGCGCACCUGCUGCUGCUGCUGCUGCUGCUGCUGUGCGGGCGGCGAGCGGGAGCCGCGCUGCCCAGGGCGCCCACGUCCACGGCCGAGCAAGGACAGUGAGGGAGAAGCACGCUCGCCACCCGAGUCCCGCGAGAGCCGCGUGCGGCAGGGCCCGGGCGCACCAGACGCCCGGGGCUCCUACACCGCAAAGACCUGGAUGGAAGGAAGACCGGCAAACACUCUCCGUCUCCUACACCCACCCAUGUUGGGAUGGCAGCAUUUGGUCCUGUGCGGUUUUUAAAAGACUUACAAUUCAUUUCAC